rnacentral:rRNA from 1 species
GAUGAACGCUGGCGGCGUGCCUAAUACAUGCAAGUCGAGCGAACGGACGAGAAGCUUGCUUCUCGGAUGUUAGCGGCGGACGGGUGAGUAACACGUGGAUAACCUACCUAUAAGACUGGGAUAACUUCGGGAAACCGGAUCUAAUACCGGAUAAUAUUUUGAACCGCAUGGUUCAAAAGUGAAAGACGGUCUUGCUGUCACUUAUAGAUGGAUCCGCGCUGCAUUAGCUAGUUGGUAAGGUAACGGCUUACCAAGGCAACGAUGCAUAGCCGACCUGAGAGGGUGAUCGGCCACACUGGAACUGAGACACGGUACAGACUCCUACGGGAGGCAGCAGUAGCGAAUCGUGCGCAAUGGGCGAAAGCCUGACGGAGCAACGGCGCGUGAGUGAUGAAGGUCUUCGGAUCGUAAAACUCUGUUAUUAGGGAAGAACAUAUGUGUAAGUAACUGUGCACAUCUUGACGGUACCUAAUCAGAAAGCCACGGCUAACUACGU